GAUGAUGAGCAGCUACACUGACACCAGCAUCUCCGCUCAGCAGUCACUGAGAACCGGUCAGGACUCCGCCAGCUUGACUGCACUAACGGUCCGGUGCGGUACAGCCAGUUCGACAAACGGUCAGGCAGAGUUGGGUGAUGUACUUUGAAGAAAAAGUUCCCGCCUUACAAACAAUUAGUUGAAGAUCCGUGUCCAUUUUGAACAUUUUAUAUGGACGCGUUUGGCAGCUGAGGCGUGCGUGGAGGAGAGGACAUAAAAAAGUAGCUACAAACACAUGGACACCGGACACCAGAGGGAAGGACUGGGCAGGCUGGGAGAAUCUGUGGACUUGUGGACCUGGCACCAGUUGUAGACCUCAGACCCAUCUCUGAAGUGGGAUGUGUCCUUAAUGGGUCUGGAGGCGGCAGUCCAGUCGACCAUGGAGCAUGAUCUGAUGAUGGGCCUGUCUGUGUGGGCCAUCAUAGCUAUCGUUUGUAACUCUGUGGUGGGCGUCCUCAUCCUCAUCCUCUUCGUCAUCCUCUACAAGGCCUGCAAGGUGCCUUCACACCAAGUGCCAGGUUUCACAGCAGUGCCGGAGAAGAGGAAGAAGAUGCCUGAACAGAAAUACCUGCUGACUGCAGCCUGAGCAUGAAGGACAUAGACUUGAAAUGUAAAUAUUAUUCAACUUUGUCCAUCUCGUAGAGACCAAAAGUUGAGUUACAGAGUGUUAGGAGACUAGCUGGACUAGCAACUUUAAGUGCUCUUCUACAUUUUGUUUGGCUUCAACUACUCAUCACUUAUACUCAUAUGUACUACUCGUUAUUUUCAUUCAUUAACUCCUUGUGUUUUACAUGAACAUACAUGUUCACAUUUCUCCAUCAGCCUCUCAUCACGCCAUUCGGUGGAGCUCAGAGUGAGCUAACUGCAAUAAGAGUUGUGGCAAGGCCAACAACAACAUACAAGCGCGCCCAAUCCUCUUAUCUCUGCUGCGCGUCGCAGGGACUGUCCAUCUGUCAGUUUGCUUUGCUCUCCGCAGGCAGACCAUGAGCUCCUCCUCUACUUCAGCCAUCUUCAUCCCUCCAUAUCACACAACGGAGAGGAUGUGGAGGAGAGACUGCAAAGACACAAUGGAUUGUAUGGGGAUACUUUGGGUCGAUGGGGUUGGUUGAGCGUGACAAUAACAUGUUAGAGGUAAAGAGAAGAAGUACAAGUAGCUCACGAGCAGCUUCGUGUUUGCCAGCUGCAUCCCUAAUAACGGCAACGACAGAGCUGCCAAAACCAAAAGCCUGAAAGUCAGGAUGGAGAGAGAUGCAGCUGGAGAAAGUGUGUGAGAGUCACAACAGGGCAGAGAGGCAGACAGACGGAGAAAAAAGGACAGUUUUUUUAUGGGAAUCAUAAAGUUCAAGUAAAGAAUCGAAGAGGGGAUGCUUUGAUGUGUUGUUUACCGAGAGGGAGCUCGAGGCCCCUGUUUGAUAGUCUCCCUAUUUGACACACAAGCUUUCACCGAUCCAACUCCCAUGGGAUUUGCAGCAGCAAAAAUGUUACUUGUGUCCCAGACUGCCUCUCUUUCAUUUUAUGAUCUCCCAAAGACUGAAUAAGAUAUUUAUUUACAGCGUUCACCAGAAAUGACACUUACUGAACACUCACGGUCUCAUACGAGUGACUUUUGUAUUUAUUGGAGUGAAUGUACUGCAGCUAACACACUAACUGCGUGAUGUCAAUAUUCUCUAAAGGAUGGAAGAGAGACAAUGUGACAAGGCAGUCAUACAUGUAUCUCUGCAUCAUCAGAAUAAAGAGAGCUGUAUACCUCUAUAUGUUUUUGUCUUGACUAGUAGAUCCAAUGUUUAUUAAUGAAAGGGCUCUUUACGGAGAUCAGGGUUUUUUUGUGUUCGAGAAACAAAAAUCUAAUCUCAGGUAUAAGUUAGCUUGCUAAAAUAAUAAUAUGCUGAUUUGAUUGUCUGUGCAGCACUUUCUGUUCCAUUACAUGAUAUAUUUCUGUGCAGAUUACAUGGAGCCCUAAUGAUGAACAGUAAUUUGUACUGAAAUGACUCGUUUGGUAUUUGAUAAAUCAUUUAAAUCACAA